UUUAAUACCUGGGACGGAAACGAUUCGUUUCCUCUAUGUAUUAAUCGGAUUUUUGAACUUGGAGUAUGGUGCUGGAGCUUGCUCCACCCUGCUCACGGGUUGUCCUGGUAUUGCAGUACCUCCAGGUUCGGCUCACGUUUC
rnacentral:snRNA from 1 species